AGCAGAGUGGCGCAGCGGAAGCGUG
rnacentral:piRNA from 8 species